rnacentral:lncRNA from 1 species
AGAGAGAGUUUAAUGUUGGUAAGUUCCUUUGUAGCUGAGUAGGCAGACUGUGGUGCUGACCACCAGGAUGUUUUUCCAUGCACCCUGCUUGGGAAGAGAGCAAGAGUAAUUCUGUGUGUUCCUAAGGUAUGUUUGGUUGCUAUGUAUAGGUUCAUUAGAAGAUGGGCCAAAUGACACACAAGCUGCCACAGAUUCAAGACUAGGCUUGAACAUUACCACAUGGUCAUUGACAUCUUUAAGAAGAUCCUGUCCUUGAAUUUGGCUCUUGUGGCAAUAAGAAAUGUUGAGUGUUUCAGCAUCUUUUUGAAGUUUCUUGACUUCUAGUGAUCAUUCAAACAGGGUUGCAUUCCCUUUCCAGUAUGGUACAUGGAAAACAUGCAGAGGAAAUGGCCCCACAGCAUUGGCUGAGUGUUUAUGUCGUCCAACCGAGUCUCCAUCGAACAGUUGUGGU